AUUGAACGCUGGCGGCAGGCCUAACACAUGCAAGUCGAGCGAGCGGCGGACGGGUGAGUAAUGUAUGGGGAACUGCCUGAUGGAGGGGGAUAACUACUGGAAACGGUAGCUAAUACCGCAUACCAUCAGAUGUACCCAUAUGGGAUUAGCUUGUAGGUGGGGUAAAGGCUCACCUAGGCGACGAUCCCUAGCUGGUCUGAGAGGAUGACCAUCCACACUGGGACUGAGACACGGCCCAGACUCCUACGGGAGGCAGCAGUGGGGAAUAUUGCACAAUGGGCGCAAGCCUGAUGCAGCCAUGCCGCGUGUAUGAAGAAGGCCUUCGGGUUGUAAAGUACUUUCAGUGGGGAGGCGUUACCGACAGAAGAAGCACCGGCUAACUCCGUGCCAGCCGCCGCGGUAAUUC
rnacentral:rRNA from 1 species